AUUGAACGCUGGCGGCAGGCCUAACACAUGCAAGUCGAACGGUAACAGGAAGAAGCUUGCUUCUUUGCUGACGAGUGGCGGACGGGUGAGUAAUGUCUGGGAAACUGCCUGAUGGAGGGGGAUAACUACUGGAAACGGUAGCUAAUACCGCAUAACGUCGCAAGACCAAAAAGGGGGACCUUCGGGCCUCUUGCCAUCGGAUGUGCCCAGAUGGGAUUAGCUAGUAGGUGGGGUAACGGCUCACCUAGGCGACGAUCCCUAGCUGGUCUGAGAGGAUGACCAGCCACACUGGAACUGAGACACGGUCCAGACUCCUACGGGAGGCAGCAGUGGGGAAUAUUGCACAAUGGGCGCAAGCCUGAUGCAGCCAUGCCGCGUGUAUGAAGAAGGCCUUCGGGUUGUAAAGUACUUUCAGCGGGGAGGAAGGGAGUAAAGUUAAUACCUUUGCUCAUUGACGUUACCUGCAGAAGAAGCACCGGCUAACUCCGUG
rnacentral:rRNA from 1 species